rnacentral:lncRNA from 13 species
GGGUAGCCAUCCAUGCUGGGUAGCCAUCCAUGCUGGGUAGCCAUGCUGGGUAGCCAUGCUGGGUAGCCAUGCUGGGUAGCCAUCCAUGCUGGGUAGCCAUGCUGGGUAGCCAUGCUGUUCAGCUGUCUUAUGGCUUGGAGGUAGAAGCUGUUAAGAUGCCUUUUGGACCUAGACUUGUUACGUUUCACAAAAGUAACGUGUUCUAUUACUUUGUGUAACUUUCAUGAAAAAGUAACGUGCCCUCUAUACAUUUCUAUGGACAACAUCUGUCUCCAAACAGCCUUUCUCCGUUCGCUCGAGAACUGGGACAAGUCGAGAUCAGAAGUGUUAGUUGACAAAGUAACUAUAAUAAUAUUACCCAAUACGUUACUUAUAAAAAUAAUCUGAUUAUAUAAAGCGUUACUUUACUCCGUUGCUCAUAAAAGUAAUCUGAUUACGUAACACUACUAACGCGUUACCCCAAAAACCACAGGCAAGAUUAUAGAAGCCCUGACUGACAUGAGAGAGAGGCAAUCAACAUCCACUGCCUAACAGACCACAUUGAGAACAUAAAACAGCAAGACAGAGAAACAACACACACAAUCAUUGCAUUGUCUUUACACAUUUCCCCCUCCCGAUUUGACAUUAAAGACGAGCCAGUGAGAUCAAACAGGAAACGUAACAGUAAUUGAUGUUUGAGUAAAGUCACGACCCCACGGAAAUGGGAGCCUGAGGAUGAAAGGGGAGCGGCAUUUUCCAGGGGUGGACAAACAGAUAUCUUCUUGUUUGCCUUUAAUAGAGCUCCUGAGAUAUAGAGGACCUCUGGCUCUCAGUGUCAGCCCUGCCAGAUGAGCGUAGGGCAGUCAGGCACAUCGGACUGGAGCCAUCCAUCCUCCCUUUCUCUUCACAUCAGACUUGGAGGGGCCAUUCUUGCGUCUAAUCGUUAACCUGGCUGGGAUGAUCUGGGGCGGAGUCCCAGCCUGUUACCCUGGGCAGGUUACAGAAGCUCUUUGUGGUCUCUGUGGGGUCAGACACAGGCCAGAUACAGCCUGAAUUCCUCCUGUACAUUCAGUCUUAUUGGCUGUUGUCAGGCCCGGUCCAAAAUGGUGUCUGUUUAACUGAAGGUGGUUAACUGGAGACGUUUUAAUAAAGACGCUAGAAUUUGGUCGUCAGUUUGGGUGUUGAUUGUGCAACAGAGACACGGCCACUGGAGGAAGACAGUGUAUGAAUGUAUGCAGGCAUUUUACCUUUACACAGAACCUUGUGUCUAUCUCCUCCUGUCAUUAUAAUGCAUGGUUGUCAUCAUGGAGCCUAUACCACGGUGGGCCGGGUACUGUCUAAAGUACUGGAUGGACCAGUCACAUAGAUAGAGUCCGUGUGUGAAGCAGCGAUGUCCAUGUGUAGCAGAACGUGUCACAAGCUCCAUCUCGCUCACGUCAGAUCCAUUACAGGCAUACAGUACAGGGGAGCAGAGCUAUAUUGAGCUGGAAGGGCUCACUCAAAGCUCUCUCUCACCCAAACAAUUCCCCUAGAGUGGCUUAGCAUAUGUACAUGUGAAUUCAAAGAGAGGAGAGGUAAGGAAGGUAAGCAAGCCUGGACAGAAGAUGUCAUUCAGCCAAUAUGGACACUUGAGUGAUCCUCAACUCUCUGCCGGAUGCAUUAUUGCAUUUUACGUUUGUCCUUCUCAACGAGGAGAAUAACAUGCCAGGAAAAGGGACGUGAGGAAGACACAAGAGAGCAGUGGGGUUGAAGUGGGGCCCACAGACUCCGCCUUUGAUUCUCAACACAGUAAAAAUAACUUUCCCAUUCAACGUUUUUAAGUAAG